rnacentral:lncRNA from 1 species
GGAGCUGAUGAGUCAGCAGUGGCGGUGGCGUGGAAGCCAUGACCGCCACUAAACACUGCACCUGAACUGGCUGAGGUGGUAGCUGUUAAAGUCUGAAAGAAAAUAUAACUGUAAGCAGGUCACAGAAAUACAGGGCGAACAAAUAGUAAAGCGACAGGAUAAAGCGGAGGUGUGAGUCCAUCUGUCGUCACCGCAACAAAAUACCCGAGGAAAUGUGGAAAACCUUGUGCUGUCUCCUGCUUCAGAGGCACCAGCCCUAGGUCACGCUCAGCCUGGGCCUGUGGUGAGAUCCACCUCACAGCAGAAGUUUGUGUUGCUCUCUCACACUAACGGUUUGAGAAUUUGAUCCCUUCUGCUACCUAGAAGCUGGUUGCCCCUGAGGUCCCUCCUUCCUCUAGCAUACCACUCCUCAGAAUGUCCAGAGAUGACGCUGCAAGGACCCGUCUGUGACGAACUAGGGCACUGAGGAGAGCGUUCUCCAGGUUCCUUCCUCUUCCUGCGUUGCCAUUGUUACCGUGUGACAUUCCAGGGACACCGAGAGUCAGGAGAGACAACAGCACACUCCGCCCAUUUCAAUAAAGAGAAAAGCAAUCUCGAGAAAGCAAACGACCCCUGCCAACCCUCGGUUGGAAUCUCAGGACUCUGACUGCGUAUGCUCUACCCAGUGGAAACGUUCGCCACAUGGGCUGGGGAGAUGACUGGCUUGGGUGAAGCACUUGCUACACAGCCCAAGGACCUGAAAUCAGAACCCCAGAACCCUUAGAAAGACUGGCGUGGCUCCCAGCACCCUACAGGAAAGUGGGAAGCAGCGACAAGAACAUUUCUUGGCAAACUGGGAAGGAGGAGGAGUCCCCAACUGGAACAAGGUGAGGGCCGACACCCAAGGUUGUUCUCCACCCUCCACCCAUGUGCUGUGGCAUGCACUAGUCUCUACUCACACCCACAAACAUAGGUCAUCAAACACAGGCUCGCAGUGUGGCGGGUGGGGAGAGGGAGAGAGAGGUGGGUUUUUUUAGUUUGGUUUGGUUUGGUUUGGUUUGGUUUGGUUUGGUUUGGUUUUUUAAAGAACUUGAGAACCUAUGGGGCUUAAUGUUUGAAGAAACCACUGAAAUAAAGUGCAAAGAAAAGCCAUACUAGAUGAAGAGAAAGGGGACAACAUUUGAAAUGUAAAUAAAGAAAAUAUAUAAUAAAAACAAAAAGAGUAAAGAAAUAGCUGAAGGGAAGAGAAGGAGCAACUGACCUGGGCACAUGCUUCCAGGGGGCUCUGCCUUGGAGAAGAAUGACCUGGGUUCCAUUUGGAACAUGUGGGGAGCUAGCUGCAUGGUGAAUCCCCUGAAUUUGAUCAUUACAUAAAAGCUACAGAAGAGAAGAAACGGUCCUGUACUUGAUGGAGUUCGUGGGCUGGAAGGUCUCUGUGCCCCACUCUCUGUUUGUUCAGAAAGAAGUGAGAAAAGUGCAUGCAUGCGCCAUGGCGGCAGUGGCAGGUCCUGAGAGAGCAGACUGUGGCACACAACAUCAGCUCAAUGUGCCUGUAGCUUUUCUGAAGCCUGAACAUUUUUCUAAGAUGAAGAGUGUAAAAGGAUAGGUAAGAACACACCUGUGGGGAUGGAGAGAUGACUCCGCAGUUUAAAAGCACUAACUGCUCUUCCAGAGGUCCUGAGUUCAAAUCCCAGCAACCACAUGGUGGCUCACAGCAAUCUGUAAUGGGAACUGGUAACCUCUUCUGGUGUGUCUGAAGACAGCGA